rnacentral:rRNA from 1 species
UACGGGGGGAGCAAGCGUUGUUCGGAUUUACUGGGCGUAAAGGGCGCGUAGGCGGCCACCGCAAGUCAAUUGUGAAAUCUCCGGGCUUAACUCGGAAAGGUCAACUGAUACUGCGGGGCUAGAGUGCGGAAGGGGCAACUGGAAUUCUCGGUGUAGCGGUGAAAUGCGUAGAUAUCGAGAGGAACACCUGCGGCGAAGGCGGGUUGCUGGGCCGACAUUGACGCUGAGGCGCGAAAGCCAGGGGAGCGAACGGG